UACGUAGGGUGCAAGCGUUGUCCGGAUUUAUUGGGCGUAAAGAGCUCGUAGGCGGUUCUGUCGCGCGAUGAUCGAAAGCCCAGGGCUCAACCCUGGGCCUGCAUUCGAUACGGGCAGACUAGAGUAGGCGAGGGGAGACUGGAAUUCCUGGUGUAGCGGUGAAAUGCGCAGAUAUCAGGAGGAACACCGGUGGCGAAGGCGGGGUCUCUAGGCCGAACACUGACGUGAGGAGCGAAAGCGUGGGGAGCGAACAGG
rnacentral:rRNA from 1 species